GCAGGACUCAGUCAGUAGAGCAUGAGACUCUUGAUCUCAAGGUCGUGGGUUCGAGCCCCACAUUGUGCA